rfam:Gossypium hirsutum cultivar TM-1 chromosome 3, whole genome shotgun sequence
CAUUAUAGCAUUAAGACGACCUUUCCUUAGUAUGAGAGGACCUGGAAGGGCGCACCUCUGGUGUACUAGUUAUCGUGCCCACAGUAAAUGCUGGGUAGCCAAGUGUGGAGCGGAUGACUACUGAAAGCAUCUAAGUAGUAAGCCCACCCCAAGAUGAGUGCUCUUCUAUUCUGACUUCCCUAGAGCCUCCAGUAGCAUAGCAGAGACGGGAAGGUGUUCUCUGUCCCUACAGGGAUCGAGUGACAGAAGUUUUGAGAAUUCAGGAGAAGGUCACGGCGAGAUGAGCUGUUUAUCAUUACGAUAGGUGUCAAGUGGAAGUGUAGUGAUGUUUGUAGCUGAGGCAUCCUAUCAGACCGG